UAAUUUAAACUCCCAAAUUUAUAAAUAAUAAACAGAACCAUCAAUAAAUUUUAUAUGCGAUAACUCCCCUUUUUAUAAUAUUGUAAAAUUUAGGCUAAAUUUUAAAAAAGUAGAAAUAAACGCUCGUACCUUUUGCAUCAUGGUUUAACAAGAUCUAAGACUUAUUCUUAACCCCGAAAUCAAAUCGAGCUAAUUUAACCCUGCGAAGAGCUCAAGACUUAAUGUUGCAAUAUUUUUCUAAGAGGUUAAAUUUGAAGCUACAUACUUACCGCGAUUGAUAAUAGCUGGUUCUUUUUUAUAAAAUCGAAGUGAUUAAAAUAUUUUAAAUAUUAUUCUAUAUAUUUCAGGAUAAGCUGAAAUCUUUAUUUUAUAAGUGCAUAAAGUUAAUAAAUUCAUUUAGGCUUUGAAACAGCUUCAAAUUUACCCGUUUUAGUGAAUUUCUCAAACUAAACUAAAUUUUUAUUUCUUCUUAUAUUUAAUUUAAAAAAGAUUAAUUAACAAUUUUUAUUAAUUUUUUAUAAUGUUAAAAUUAGUACCAUAAUUUUAUUACUACUUAUUUUAUUAACAAAAUCUCUUUAAAUAAAUCUAUAUAUUUUGAAGGAACUCUGCAAACCUAAAACUCGCCUGUUUACCAAAAACAUCGUCUUUAGUCCUCUUAUUAAAGAUCUUUCCUGCCCGGUGACUAAAUGUUCAACGGCCGCGGUAUCCUGACCGUGCAAAGGUAGCAUAAUCAUUUGCCUUUUAAUUGAAGGCUUGUAUGAAUGGAUUAACGAGGUUUUAGCUGUCUCCCUUAUAACUCUUUAAUUUAAAUUUUAGGUGAAGAUGCCUAAAUUUAAUAGAAAGACAAGAAGACCCUAUAGAGUUUCAAUAAAAAGAAAUUUCUUUUUUCUUUAUUAUUUUGGUUGGGGCGACCAGGGAUUAUAAAAACCAUCCCUAAAUAAUUAGGCUACAAGCCAUUUUAUUGACCCUCCUGGAUUAUCUGAAUCAACUACCUUAGGGAUAACAGGCUUAUCUUCCUAGAGAGCCCAAAUCGAUAGGAUGGAUUGGCACCUCGAUGUUGGCUUAGAGAAACUUAUUGUCGCAGCAGAUAAUAAAAGUUAGUUUGUUCAACUAUUAAUUCUCUACAUGAGCUGAGUUCAGACCGGCGCAAGCCAGGUUAGCUUCUAUCUUCUAUAAAUUUUUAAUCUAUUAGUACGAAAGGACCAUG
rnacentral:rRNA from 1 species